GGGUUGUGAGGUUAAGCGACUAAGCGUACACGGUGGAUGCCCUGGCAGUCAGAGGCGAUGAAGGACGUGCUAAUCUGCGAUAAGCGUCGGUAAGGUGAUAUGAACCGUUAUAACCGGCGAUUUCCGAAUGGGGAAACCCAGUGUGAUUCGUCACACUAUCAUUAACUGAAUCCAUAGGUUAAUGAGGCGAACCGGGGGAACUGAAACAUCUAAGUACCCCGAGGAAAAGAAAUCAACCGAGAUUCCCCCAGUAGCGGCGAGCGAACGGGGAGCAGCCCAGAGCCUGAAUCAGUGUGUGUGUUAGUGGAAGCGUCUGGAAAGGCGCGCGAUACAGGGUGACAGUCCCGUACACAAAAAUGCACAUACUGUGAGCUCGAUGAGUAGGGCGGGACACGUGGUAUCCUGUCUGAAUAUGGGGGGACCAUCCUCCAAGGCUAAAUACUCCUGACUGACCGAUAGUGAACCAGUACCGUGAGGGAAAGGCGAAAAGAACCCCGGCGAGGGGAGUGAAAAAGAACCUGAAACCGUGUACGUACAAGCAGUGGGAGCACAGAGCAAUCUGUGUGACUGCGUACCUUUUGUAUAAUGGGUCAGCGACUUAUAUUCUGUAGCAAGGUUAACCGAAUAGGGGAGCCGAAGGGAAACCGAGUCUUAACUGGGCGUUAAGUUGCAGGGUAUAGACCCGAAACCCGGUGAUCUAGCCAUGGGCAGGUUGAAGGUUGGGUAACACUAACUGGAGGACCGAACCGACUAAUGUUGAAAAAUUAGCGGAUGACUUGUGGCUGGGGGUGAAAGGCCAAUCAAACCGGGAGAUAGCUGGUUCUCCCCGAAAGCUAUUUAGGUAGCGCCUCGUGAAUUCAUCUCCGGGGGUAGAGCACUGUUUCGGCAAGGGGGUCAUCCCGACUUACCAACCCGAUGCAAACUGCGAAUACCGGAGAAUGUUAUCACGGGAGACACACGGCGGGUGCUAACGUCCGUCGUGAAGAGGGAAACAACCCAGACCGCCAGCUAAGGUCCCAAAGUCAUGGUUAAGUGGGAAACGAUGUGGGAAGGCCCAGACAGCCAGGAUGUUGGCUUAGAAGCAGCCAUCAUUUAAAGAAAGCGUAAUAGCUCACUGGUCGAGUCGGCCUGCGCGGAAGAUGUAACGGGGCUAAACCAUGCACCGAAGCUGCGGCAGCGACACUGUGUGUUGUUGGGUAGGGGAGCGUUCUGUAAGCCUGUGAAGGUGUACUGUGAGGUAUGCUGGAGGUAUCAGAAGUGCGAAUGCUGACAUAAGUAACGAUAAAGCGGGUGAAAAGCCCGCUCGCCGGAAGACCAAGGGUUCCUGUCCAACGUUAAUCGGGGCAGGGUGAGUCGACCCCUAAGGCGAGGCCGAAAGGCGUAGUCGAUGGGAAACAGGUUAAUAUUCCUGUACUUGGUGUUACUGCGAAGGGGGGACGGAGAAGGCUAUGUUGGCCGGGCGACGGUUGUCCCGGUUUAAGCGUGUAGGCUGGUUUUCCAGGCAAAUCCGGAAAAUCAAGGCUGAGGCGUGAUGACGAGGCACUACGGUGCUGAAGCAACAAAUGCCCUGCUUCCAGGAAAAGCCUCUAAGCAUCAGGUAACAUCAAAUCGUACCCCAAACCGACACAGGUGGUCAGGUAGAGAAUACCAAGGCGCUUGAGAGAACUCGGGUGAAGGAACUAGGCAAAAUGGUGCCGUAACUUCGGGAGAAGGCACGCUGAUAUGUAGGUGAAGUCCCUCGCGGAUGGAGCUGAAAUCAGUCGAAGAUACCAGCUGGCUGCAACUGUUUAUUAAAAACACAGCACUGUGCAAACACGAAAGUGGACGUAUACGGUGUGACGCCUGCCCGGUGCCGGAAGGUUAAUUGAUGGGGUCAGCGCAAGCGAAGCUCUUGAUCGAAGCCCCGGUAAACGGCGGCCGUAACUAUAACGGUCCUAAGGUAGCGAAAUUCCUUGUCGGGUAAGUUCCGACCUGCACGAAUGGCGUAAUGAUGGCCAGGCUGUCUCCACCCGAGACUCAGUGAAAUUGAACUCGCUGUGAAGAUGCAGUGUACCCGCGGCAAGACGGAAAGACCCCGUGAACCUUUACUAUAGCUUGACACUGAACAUUGAGCCUUGAUGUGUAGGAUAGGUGGGAGGCUUAGAAGUGUGGACGCCAGUCUGCAUGGAGCCGACCUUGAAAUACCACCCUUUAAUGUUUGAUGUUCUAACGUUGACCCGUGAUCCGGGUUGCGGACAGUGUCUGGUGGGUAGUUUGACUGGGGCGGUCUCCUCCUAAAGAGUAACGGAGGAGCACGAAGGUUGGCUAAUCCUGGUCGGACAUCAGGAGGUUAGUGCAAUGGCAUAAGCCAGCUUGACUGCGAGCGUGACGGCGCGAGCAGGUGCGAAAGCAGGUCAUAGUGAUCCGGUGGUUCUGAAUGGAAGGGCCAUCGCUCAACGGAUAAAAGGUACUCCGGGGAUAACAGGCUGAUACCGCCCAAGAGUUCAUAUCGACGGCGGUGUUUGGCACCUCGAUGUCGGCUCAUCACAUCCUGGGGCUGAAGUAGGUCCCAAGGGUAUGGCUGUUCGCCAUUUAAAGUGGUACGCGAGCUGGGUUUAGAACGUCGUGAGACAGUUCGGUCCCUAUCUGCCGUGGGCGCUGGAGAACUGAGGGGGGCUGCUCCUAGUACGAGAGGACCGGAGUGGACGCAUCACUGGUGUUCGGGUUGUCAUGCCAAUGGCACUGCCCGGUAGCUAAAUGCGGAAGAGAUAAGUGCUGAAAGCAUCUAAGCACGAAACUUGCCCCGAGAUGAGUUCUCCCUGACCCUUUAAGGGUCCUGAAGGAACGUUGAAGACGACGACGUUGAUAGGCCGGGUGUGUAAGCGCAGCGAUGCGUUGAGCUAACCGGUACUAAUGAACCGUGAGGCUUAACCUUACAACGCCGAAGCUGUU
rnacentral:rRNA from 1 species